GACGAACCGUGCGAACGUUGUUCGGAUUCACUGGGCUUAAAGGGCGCGUAGGCGGGCGGUCAAGUCGGGGGCGAAAUCUUUCCGCUUAACGGGAAGCGUGCCUCCGAUACUGAUCGCCUCGAGGGAGGUAGGGGCAUGUGGAACUUCCGGUGGAGCGGUGAAAUGCGUAGAUAUCGGAAGGAACGCCGGUGGCGAAAGCGACGUGCUGGACCUCUUCUGACGCUGAGGCGCGAAAGCUAGGGGAGCAAACGGG
rnacentral:rRNA from 1 species